AUAUUUUAGAAUUCGGUGACCUUCAAUGAUGUGCAUGUGAAAUUCAGCCAAGAAGAGUGGGCCUUGCUGGAACCUUCCCAGAAGCAACUCUACAAAGAUGUGAUGCUAGAGACCUGUGAAAACCUCACUGCUAUAGACUACAAUUGGGAUGACCAUAAUAUUGAAGAAUAAUUUCAAAGUUCUACAAGUAAUGAAAGAGUUGCACACCCUGAACCUGACUGUCCACCUCAUCAUGGGAAUGAGAAUUUCCACAGAGGAGCCGUGUCUACACAGUCUGACUGACCGACCAGAACUGGAGUGAUGUGGAGACAUUGGUGUAUCCAGAGUCUGAUAACAAUUUGUCUUGGGCCAUCUUUAGACCCUGUUGGCCAUUCCUUGCCAGCCAUUUUUUUCUUGGACCUAGUGUCCUAGAAUUGAUGAAUACUUCUAUGAUCGUGCUAACUACAACACAAGCUUCUGCCAAACCUGAUGUUAAGAAUUUCACCUGAUGGCAUUGGAGGCCCAUAUCUGAGUUUUCUAUGCUUUGCCAUAACCUGUGUUUCUAUGAUCUAACUGAAGAACAUUUAUUGCUGUUCUGCUAGUAGAAAUACUUGACAGGACUGCCUCCACAUUGGAACGUGGAAUUUGGUGUGACCUGAAUCUAUGUUCCCAGGCCAUGGCAAUUGUCAUAUUCAACAAGGAUACAACUCCUGCUUUCUACUGUGUCUUGGGAUACCCAGCCAUCCCAUCACUUAGGAGUGUCUACUGUGAAUUUUCUGGCUAGAGAUUUCCUAACUGAUUUACAGAAGCCAGCCUCCCAACACCCAGCAUGCUGGUGUUUUGCAGUAUAUUGGCCACUUUCUUGACUGACCCCCAUAGCACCAGGGCAAGGUCACAGGAGCUGCAGAGCAUCACUGGAACCCAGAAAUUUCAGUGACUACCUUCUAGACUUAGGGUCAAUAUCAUGAGAGGAUUUCAACCAAUAUGCCCCAAAACUGAGGACCAGAUCAUGGAUGCCUUUUAUAGUUCAGGGCUACAGAGAUGUCUUGGGGGUUAAGAACACUUGUUCUUUCAAAGGACCAAGUCUGUUCACACCUGGUAGCUCACCCUAUCUGUAACUCCAAUUCCAGGGGAUUCAGCUCCUUCUUCUGGCCUCUUCAGGCACCAGGCAUCCACAUGGUACACAGGUACAGCUAUUCAUGUAGGCAAAACACUCAUCACAUAAACAUAAACAAAUAGAUGAGUUUUACACUACUUAGGAGAGGGGGAAAGAGCACAACCAUCUGUAAGUAAAGCUAGUUUAUUGCCCCACAGCCCCAGCUAAAUUUACAUAAUCCCAGUUUAAAUGUGUCCAGUAUAAAUUCUCCUGUUCAGCCAGAGCUCAGCCAGUCCCUGCUCACUGACAAAGGAAUCCUGGGGUCCCUGGCCCCCUUUCUUUUAGUGAGUGCCAACUCUCCCAGUCAAAACAGGCCUGAUCUCGGGAAGGUAAACAGAGAUUAUAAAUCAUUUUUAAGGAUUAUAACAAAAAGCCAGCUGUGGUGUCACAUGCCUGUGAUCCUCAGUGGGGCAAGAAGAGGUGUGAGUUCCAGGUCAUCUGGGUUUACAAAGUGAGUCCAGGAUAUACAAGGCCACAGAGGGAAACCCUGUCUCCAAAAACAAGAGCUUGUGACCCCUCCCAGCUCUUCACACUCACAACUCUGUGUUCUAAGUCACACAGUGUGAUUUCACCCAGGCUAUAGAAAAGUUCUGCCAAACACGUUGGCACACACUUUUAAUCCUAGCACUUAGGAGGCUGUGACUUUGAGGCCAGCCAGGUCUACAGAGAAAGUCCAAGACAGCCAAUGUUACACAGAGAAACCCUGUCUCAAAAACCCAUAAUAAUAAUAAUAAUAAUAAUAAUAAUAAUAUUGAAAUAAAAAAAUUCAAAGCCAGGCCUGCUGGCAUAUUGCCAGGUAGGUUCCUUUCACAAGGAAGGCACACAGUAGAGUUUAUAGAAAAAAAAAGCAGAUGGAAGAAAGAUUUGAACCUUCAUUUUAUCUCAUUUUUUAAUCUCCAUUUCAAGAAAUUCUUAGUGUGUUUAAAAGCCCAAAGACUUGAAAAUCAGUGGGUAUUGUUUUAAAGUUUAAAGCAAAAGCGUGAAGGAAGGCUAGGUAGCUGGAGACGCGUCCAGCCACCUUCAGGGAAGAAUUAGCCUUAAUGACCUGAGGGCACAAAUUAGCCUUACUGCAUUCUUUCCUGCCCACUAAUUAUACAGUUGCUAGGAAACUGGCCCAUAGGACCAGGCCAGAACAGUUUGUAGUCUUGGUGCCUAAAGUGGACCAAUCAUUUCAAAAGUCAAUUCUCCUUACCCAAUCAUGUAAUGCCAAACCAUGUAAGUCCCUGCUUUCAGUUUUGCCCCAUAAAAACCUUGCUUUCCUAUAUCUCAGGGCUACAUUCCUCUCCUGAGUCCACAGGAAGUUUGUGUCCAAUGUCUGAACACGUAUACAAUUUUAAAAACCUCAUAUAUUUACAGCAGAGUGUAUCCCUGGUCUUUUGGGGUUCCCAAACUGGGCAUAAAAGUUUCACUCUGAAUAAGGCCAUUAGUAAUUUAUAAACAUCUCCCAAUGACAAUAAAUACUUGUAGCCACAGGGGAAAAACAAACAAACAAACGAAAACCUACCCAAUCCCCCUUAAGGAAAAUAGGACAUCAUUCUCAUUGAUUUCUUCUAGAUGACAUUUUGGACAUGCAGAAAUCCUGUUGGGGGCCCAAAGAAAAUUGGAAAAAAUGUUUAAUUAAGCAAGCAAUAUUUGUGAUCCAGUCUUUAAAUGAACAUAAUAAGAGUUAAUAAAAGUCCUGUUUAAAACAGUCUAAAAUGUGGGACCAAUUAAGAUUUGCAGCUUUCUUCAAAGCUCUCUUGGGAACAGGUCAUGAUGAGAAACAGUAAUUGAAGGAGUUGAGGCAGGAACAAGCAGAAUUCUGGAACAUGCAAGAUACUGAAACAGAUGUGUUAAUGUCUCAGCAUGCUGGAAGGAGGAUUCUGUCAGGUUUGGUACAGCAUCUCCAGUAUUCACUCCUUUUGUUCUGAAAACAUAUAAUUUCUCACAAGCAUUACACAGUAAUAAAAUUAUAAAUAUAUGAGAUGUUCAGAUUAAAAUUAAACUGUGAACCAAUUUCAUCAAUGUCAAUUAAAAGAAUGGCAUAAUCAAUUUUGAGGAUAUCAUAGCCAAGGAUUUAUUGGCCAUGUACUGCUGAAGUUCUGGUUAGAGACUUUUUUUUUUAUGUCUCAGUCAGUUUUAGAGAUGUUCCCAUGUGGUAAUAUAAUAUCAAAUUAUAUUACCUGUUCUGUUUGGUCUUCUUGAUUUCUCUCUUCUAGUGUGUGGCCAAGGUCUUCAGGUGGUCAUCCUCUGUGAUAUCUGAUUUUUAUUAGUUUUGAAGGAACCUAUAAUUUAUCUUCUCCUGUAUGAACAUAUGCAAAACCUCUUCCCCAGUGUAACACAUUCCCUACUGUCCAUUGUGAAGUUAGGGUAUCUUUAAAAUAUAUAGGCUGAAAUAAUUCAGUAGUUUUUUCUAUAACCCAGUGUCUCUGUGCAGCUGCUGAUUGCUGUUCAUUAACAUUUAAUAUAUUAAAGGUCAAUAAAUCAUUAUGUAAUCUAUCUCUGGGGGUGGGUAAUAACCUUCUCUGUUAAGCAUGUCCCUUAAAGUAUGAUUCAAUUUUUCAGUGACUGCUUGACUGGCAGAAUUGUGAGGUAUACCUGUAACAUGUUUUAUCUUAAAAUAUGUAAAAAAAAUCUUUCCAUUUUAUUAGAGACAUAUAAUGUAGUAUUAUCAGUCUUAAUUUGUGUAGGAAUAACCAUAACUUCCAUCACCUCUAAUAAAUACAUAAUAACUGAAUCAGCCUUCUCAGAACUUAUGGCUUUUGCUCAUUAGAACCCUGAACAUGUGUCUAUAGUAUGGUGCACAUAUUUCAGCUUACCAAACUCUAUAAAAUAAAACACAUGAUUUACCAAAUUUCAUUUCUUUAAAUAAAGAUAGGGUUACUUCCUGCAGUUAGUGAAGUUUAGUUAUAUAAUGAACAAGUGGGACAUUUUCACACAAUUUCUUUGGCUUGUUGCCAAGUGAUAGAAAACUCUCUUUUGAAACCUUUGCUGUUAACAUGGUGUUUUCAUGAAAUUCUGAGGCCUCUAACACGCUUCCUAUCAAUAGUUGAUCAAUUUCAUCAUUGUCUUGUGCGAGAGGGCCUUGUGGACCCAUAUCAGAUCUGAUCUACGUUAUAUACAGUGUAUUAUUUCUAUUUCUGAUUACUCGUUUUAAUUGAAGAAACAGUGACGUUAAAUCCAAAUUAUCCUGAAUUAGCUCAGCAGUUUCUAUGUGCAGAAAAACUCUUUCUGCAUAUUGUGAGUCAGUGACUAUAUUAAGAGAUUCUUGAAAAUUUGAUAACACCAAGAGAAUUGUAUAUAAUUUUGAUUUUUGAACUGAAUCAUAAGGAUUCAGUUUUUAAGUUUUUAUUUUGUUUGUGUGCCAAAAAUAUCCAUUCUAAUGAGUGAAAAGCAAGAUAACCAAAAUACAGGCCCUCUUUGGAUCAAUAUGGUCUAUAUAUGCAUCUGUAAUUUCCUUUCUACCAGAGCCAAUUCAUUUUCAUCUUCAGUUGAUAACUUUCUUGGACUUCUAAAAUCCUUAUCAUCCUGUAAGGUUUGAAAUAAGUUACUUAGCUCUUGAGUAGCUAAACCGAAGGUAGGCUAUAGCCAGUUAAUAUCUCACAGCAAUUUUUGAAAAUCAUUAAGAGUUUUUAAUUGGGUUCUUCUAAUUUGCACUUUUUUGUGGUCAAGUUUUCUGUAGACCUAUUUUGUAUCCUAGGUAAUAGAAUCUCUUCUUUGUAAUCUUUCAGAAGCAAUCUCUAAACCCCAACAAGACAAAGUUCUGUUUAUAUCAUCAAAAAUAUUUUCUAAUGUUUUUGUAUCUGAAUCAGCUAAUAAGAUAGCAUCUAUAUACUGAUAAAUUAUGGAUUGAGGAAACUGCUUACGAAUUACCGCCAACGGUUGUUGUACAAAAUAUUGGCACAAAGUAGGACUGUUCAACAUCCCCUGUGGUAAGACCCGAGUGAUAUCUCUUUAUUGGACAGCUUCUAUUCAAAGUGGGUCCUGAGAAAGCAAACCUUUCCCUAUCAUGCUCCUGUAAAGGAAUUGUGAAAAAGCAAUCCUUUAAAUCAAUCACUAUAACAGGCCAUUCCUUAGGUAACAAGGAAGGCAAUGGGAUUCUGGAUUGUAACGAUCUCAUUGGCUGAAUAAUUUUGUUAACGGCUCUGAGAUCUGUUAACAUCCUCCAUUGGCCAGAUUUCUUUUUGAUGACAAAUACAGGAGAAUUCCAAGGGCUGUUGGACUCCUCUAUAUGCUGAGCCUCCAGCUGUUCCAGGACUAACUGUUCUAAGUAAUUUUUCUUUACUCAUAGACCAUUGUUCAAUCCAAAUAGGUUGGUCAGCCAACUACCUUGAUAAGGUUCUGGGGGUUUUAUUAGCAGUGGCUUCCCAACAGGCAGUUGAAAAGAAUGCCUCUGUUGUAUAUUGUUUAUGGACAGCCUGGACAAUCUGAAACUGUUUUUGAUGACAUUUAAAAAAAAAAUUAGCUUCUUUUUCAGUAGUAUUACCUGUUUUUUUGGCUUGUCUCAGAACUUGGGGGGAUGUUAAUCUGGGUCUUCCAUUGUUGUAACAUAUCUCUUCUCCAUAAGCUUAUGGCUAUCUCAGCCACAUAUAGUCUUAGUUUUCUUAUUUGACCUUCUGAUCCUGUACACUUAAGGCAUCUAACACUUUGUAUCACUUUAGAUAAAGUUUCAGCUCUUUGGAAUUGAAUAUCCACCUCAGGUCUAGCACUUCCACAGGGUGCCAUUCAACCUCAUGGUAAUCCUAUGAGUGAUCAUCUUCUGCUGGUCUCUGUUGUACACUGACUAAAUAAGCUAACAUUUGUUUUCUAACCACCUUUGUUGGGCUUUCUUUUUUAUUAUGUUUUGCGUCUGCCUGAGUAUUUUCUUUACUUAGUAUUCUAAACUCUUCUUUUAAGGUCAGUACCCAUAUUUCACACCUAUCUCUCUGUUGUUUGUUUUGUUCAAUAAUCUCUUGAAUGUCUUCUUUUAUGCCUUGCUUCUAACUUUUAAUUUUUUCUUUAUAUUGUUCUAGUUGUUCUUUUUGUUUUCCAGUAUCUUUUCUAAAACCUAUGCCCUCUUUUCUUGUUGUUUAUCAUAUUCUGUAAGUUUUUGUAUCUCAUUUUAUGUCCUGUUUCCAAACUUCAUUUUUUCUUCAUAUUGUUCUACUUGUUCUUUGUGUUGUUCCACUAUCUCUUCUAAAGGCUUUGCCUUUGAGAAGACAUAAAAGGCUAAGUCAAUUAUAAAAGUUAAAUUGAGGACUAUGAAUGUAACCAUAGUCAUAAUUUCUAAACUUUCCUUUAUUUCUGUCUUAAAACCAUAGAAGAGAUUAUCAGCCAAGCUCUGAGAAGUCUUUUUUAAUGUUUCUCUCAUCCUGUUAGAAUGUAGUGGCAGCCAGUUUUGUUCAGUCUCAGUUCUGCCCAAAGUAGGCUGUCUUUUGUUCUGAGGCAUGUUUAAGAGUCUCUUUUAAAGAGCCAGUAAUUUAUCUGGGACCUUUUAGGUUUAAAGUUUGGGUUGUAUUGCUGAGAGCUUAUUCCUCUUCCCCACCAAAUUAAAUUAAAAUAGGAUUUAAAGGGUGUGGAUACUUAGAUUAGUUGAGUGCCAUUUGUUGUAGAUUAUUAAUAUUUACUGUUGAUUAAUCUUUUAGUUAAGCAGUGGUUAUUCCUAAACAGCUGUAUAGCCAAAUCACCACACAGAGACUAGGAUUCAUUUAAUUAACCUAGAGCACAAUGCUGGCCAGCAGUUACUCCAUCUUUAACCUCUAAGCCCACACUUUCCUACCAAUCAGAUUCACCCAUCAUAUGGCUUUUAGUGAUAUCUUAGUUCCAGUUCAUUUCUACAUGUGGUGCCAAGACCUCUCCUUCAGAUUCUCCUCUUCUCCUCUCCUGCCUCCUUCCUCUUCCUCCUAAUCUGGACCAGGAUGUCUCACCCUAUCCUCUCUAUUGCUCAUUAUUUGGCUGGUUGUUUUAACUGACAAUAUAGAGAACAAAUGGUGGCAUGUUUAUGCAAACUUGACACAGGUGAUGCUUGUAAAAGUAUCACAAUGCAGUAUCUGGAUUGAAACCAGACAAUGGAGGAGAGAAAUCAGCAUUUGAAUAAACAAGGUUAAAUUGUAUACAUUCCAAAUAAAAGAACAUUAUACCAAUAUAA